rnacentral:rRNA from 1 species
AUUGAACGCUGGCGGCAGGCCUAACACAUGCAAGUCGAACGAGUGGCGGACGGGUGAGUAAUGUCUGGGAAACUGCCCGAUGGAGGGGGAUAACUACUGGAAACGGUAGCUAAUACAGCAUACCAUCGGAUGUGCACAGAUGGGAUGAGCUAGGAGGUGGGGUAACGUCUCACCUAGGCGACGAUCCCUAGCUGGUCUGAGAGGAGGACCAGCCACACGGGAACUGAGACACGGUCCAGACUCCUACGGGAGGCAGCAGUGGGGAAUAUUGCACAAGUGGUGAAAGCCUGAUGUAGCCAUGCCGCGUGUAUGAAGAAGGCCUUCGGGUUGUAAAGUACUUUCAGCGAGGAGGCGUUACUCGCAGAAGAAGCACCGGCUAACUCCGUGCCAGCAGCCGCGGUAAUUC